AUAAUACUUUUUUUCGUCCGGAAAUACUUGUCAGAGAAAUGGAUGUAUCUAGACGUAUUUUAGUUCUAGAUACAUCCAUUUUUAUUCAUUCCUCCGACACGUAUUCCCCAACGGAGGGGUAGAGA
rnacentral:pre_miRNA from 1 species